AUAAAAAAAUGGUGGGCCAGCCCAGGCUGCUGUGACGCAGGCAGUGCGUCUGAGCGAGUACCGUUUUAGGUUUCCAUGACGUAGAGCACCUAUCGACCCUUAUUGAUGUAUAAAUAUUGUGAUGUAUAAAUUCAGCGACUUGGUGACGAAGACACGCUGGCAAUGCGUCCUACGUAGCUUUCGCCGCUAAUGCUACUGUGCACAAGACGAUGGAACUACUGUACAAGGCCUACUGUACUGGCAGCCCCACCUGGCGCCACGCUGGUGGACUAGUGGACAUAGCCUAAGGGCGCAUGGACUAGAAAAUUUAGGUAAACAAAUAUGGUGGUCCACUGCAUCGAUUUUCGAGGAGCAAUAACUCUUUGAAACAACAGCUCGCGUCGACAGUGCACGUAUAAAAUGCCUCGAAUAUUCCAUUUCUAGUCGUUGAACGGUAAUCUUUAAAGAAAGAGUAAAUGAAAGAAAUAUAGUGAUAAUAAAGUCAUUGAUGUUAAAUGUAA